rnacentral:precursor_RNA from 1 species
UUCAGCUCCAUAGAGAUGAACUGUCUUGACCUUCGAAUUGAAGAAUUCAACUUUGAGGUUGGUAGACAGUUUUUUGGAGUCCCA